rnacentral:rRNA from 1 species
UACGUAGGUGGCAAGCGUUGUCCGGAUUUACUGGGCGUAAAGGGCGUGCAGGCGGUUUGUUAAGUCUAGGGUGAAAGCUCCCGGCUCAACUGGGAGAGGUCCUUGGAUACUGGCGAACUUGAGGGAUGCAGAGGAAAGUGGAAUUCCCGGUGUAGUGGUGAUAUGCGUAGAUAUCGGGAGGAACACCAGUGGCGAAGGCGGCUUUCUGGGCAUUUCCUGACGCUGAGACGCGCAAGCGUGGGGAGCGAACCGG